rnacentral:rRNA from 1 species
CAAACGACUCUCGGCAACGGAUAUCUCGGCUCUCGCAUCGAUGAAGAACGUAGCGAAAUGCGAUACUUGGUGUGAAUUGCAAAAUCCCGUGAAUCAUCGAGUCUUUGAACGCAAGUUGCGCCCGAAGCCAUUAGGCCGAGGGCACGUCUGCCUGGGCGUCACGC